UACAUGCAUAUAAUAUUCAUUCUAUUAGUUCUGUUCUUCUAGAGAACCGCACUAAUACACCACCCAUGAGGAUGACCUGGUGAACCUUGCUCUGGUGCUUGGUGGUGAUGUCUCUCAGCAGAAUGACAAACGCCAGUUAGAAGGUUCUCCUCCUAGGUUCCCCACCCUAGCCCAUGUGACCUCAGGGUUGGGCCCUUGAUUUCUACAGGAUGGCUCAUUUUGUCCACUCUUGGCUCUGGUCUCAGCUGUACUUUGUGUUGGAGUUUUCCUUGAUAAAGAGGCACCAGAGAGCCUGUGCAGCUAUGGUUGCUGUUUGCAAUGCAGACCUCUUCCUGCCAGCAGCAUCCAGCACUCCUGGAGGCUGCACACUCUGAGGUCACUGUGUGGGUCACAGCCAUCCUCUUCCUCAGGAUGCCCAGCAUACAGCACUGGAGUUACAAGCGUGUGCGGCCAUGCAAGGCUUGUGCAUGGCUGCUAGCAGUGGAAUUCAG
rnacentral:lncRNA from 1 species